CACGUAGGGACCAAGCGUUGUCCGGAUUCAUUGGGCGUAAAGAGCUCGUAGGCGGCUUGUCGCGUCGACCGUGAAAACUCGCAGCUCAACUGCGAGCCUGCGGUCGAUACGGGCAGGCUAGAGUUCGGUAGGGGAGACUGGAAUUCUCGGUGUAGCGGUGAAAUGCGUAGAUAUCGAGAGGAACACCUGCGGCGAAGGCGGGUUGCUGGGCUGAUGACUGACGCUGAGGCGCGAAAGCUAGGGGAGCGAACGGG
rnacentral:rRNA from 1 species